UUGCUUACUUUAAUGGCAUGUCUAUGAACAUUGGAAUGAUAUAGAGAAGAUUAGAAUGGCACAUGCUAAAAGAUAAUAAUGAUAACAAUGAUAAUAGUACAUAUUU
ensembl:snRNA U6 U6 spliceosomal RNA